rnacentral:rRNA from 1 species
CACGGAGUUAGCCGAUCCUUAUUCUUACAGUACCGUCAAGCUCCCUCACGAGGGAGUGUUUCUUCCUGUAUAAAAGCAGUUUACAAUCCAUAGGACCGUCAUCCUGCACGCGGCAUGGCUGGAUCAGGCUUGCGCCCAUUGUCCAAUAUUCCUCACUGCUGCCUCCCGUAGGCCCCCCGUGCCCCCGCCC